GCUAACGGCUGAACUGGCAACUUGGAGAAGUGGCAAGUCUUCCAGUAUGGGGAGCAAACAGCUAUGGGUCAAGCCCGAUACCUUUAAGAGAAGUCUUAUUGUGAGGGCGAGUUGUAUAACACCAUAGGGCUGGCCGUCCCAUAUGAAAAGAUUUUAUUAGAAUUGAAUGAAACUUUGUUUAUAUAUUGAUAAUGACAGUAUAUAUAUCGUGUCUUGACUAAUUGCGUGCCAGCAGUCGCGGUAAUACGUAAGAGACUAGUGUUAUUCAUCUUAAUUAGGUUUAAAGGGUACCCAGACGGUCUAUAUAGCUUAUAAAAUGUUAGUAUAAGACUAGAGUUUUAUGUAAGAGNGCAGUACUUGAGGAGGAGAGAUGAAAUUUCGUGAUACCAAAGGGACUCUGUAAAGGCGAAGGCAGCCCUCUAUGUAAAAACUGACGUUGAAGGACGAAGGCACAGAGAACAAACAGGAUUAGAUACCCAAGUAGUCUUUGCAGUAAAUGAUGAAUGCCAUAGGUUAGAUAUAAAUAAUCCCUAUUAUAUAUAUAAUACAAAAGUAUUAAAUAUAUCUGGUCUAUAAAUGAAAGUGUAAGCAUUUCACCUCAAGAGUAAUGUGGCAACGCAGGAACUGAAAUCACUAGACCGUUUCUGACACCAGUAGUGAAG
rnacentral:rRNA from 1 species